rnacentral:rRNA from 1 species
UACGUAGGGUGCGAGCGUUACUCGGAAUUACUGGGCGUAAAGAGUGCGUAGGCGGUUCUUGAAGUCCGCUGUGAAAGCCCCGGGCUUAACCUGGGAAUGGCAGUGGAAACUGGAGGACUUGAAUUGAGCAGAGGGGGGUGGAAUGCCGCGUGUAGCAGUGAAAUGCGUAGAGAUGCGGCGGAACACCGAUGGCGAAGGCAGCCCCCUGGGCUUAAAUUGACGCUGAGGCACGAAAGCGUGGGGAGCAAACAGG